rnacentral:tRNA from 2 species
UGCGGGGUGGAGCAGUCUGGUAGCUCGUUGGGCUCAUAACCCAAAGGUCGCAAGUUCAAAUCUUGCCCCCGCAACCA